GUGAAUCAUCAAAUUUUUGAACGCAAAUUGCACUCUCUUCGGAGAGUAUGCCUGUUUGAGGGUCAGCCUAUAAAAAUCGACAUCGUUGCGGGUUCGCGGGGGUGUUUGUCGGAAAUUGGGUCAUCUUAAAUCCUUUUGAUUUAAGCGACUUAAAAAUUUCUUUUGGUUCCAUGAACGGUUCUAAGAUGUAUUUCUUUACACGUUUAAGGUAUCGAAUGUUACUAGACUUGACCAUCAUAACGGA
rnacentral:misc_RNA from 1 species